AGCUGACUCGGAAGCGGCCGGAAGUCGCGUGCCGAGUGGCGCGUCAUUCUAAUGGCGCGCGCAACCGAGAGACGAGCGCAAAUCACCGUUGCGAAACGAAGGGAAGAAGAAAGAUUCCGGAAGUUAUGAUUCCUUACCAUAAAGUUUUCGAGAUCGCUUGAAGUUUAGGGAUUGCGAUUUUAGUCCUGAUCUACAAUAGGUGCUUUAAGCCUUAAGAAACUAAAGAUACUCGUCAGAAUGAGGAUAACUGAUCUCACAAGGACCAGGAUUGAAAAGAGGUUAGCCACUUUCAACCUCGGCAAUGUAAGUGCGCGCUUUGCGCCAAUCGUCGCACGCGAGACCGUCCGAGCUGUCGUCGCGAGCUGGGUCCCACGGCACUGGC